AGCACUCUGCGAACCUGAAAGGGGAAGUAUAGGGUGUGACACCUGCCCGGUGCCGGAAGGUUAAAUGAUGGGGUCAGGCGCAAGCUGAAGCCCUUGAGUGAAGCCCCGGUAAACGGCGGCCGUAACUAUAACGGUCCUAAGGUAGCGAAAUUCCUUGUCGGGCAAGUUCCGACCUGCACGAAUGGUGUAACCAUGGCCGCGCUGUCUCCACCCGGGACCCAGUGAAACCGAAAUCGCUGUGAAGAUGCAGUGUACCCGCGGCUAGACGGAAAGACCCCGUGAACCUUUACUGCAGCUUGACACUGAACCUUGAACCUGUUUGCGCAGGAUAGGCGGGAGACACAGAAGUUGGAGCUCAGGCUCUGAUGGAGUCGCCCUUGAAAUACCGCCCUGACAGUUUUGAGGUUCUAACCUAAGGCUUAAAUGACAUGGGACAGUGUCUGGCGGGAAGUUUGACUGGGGCGGUCUCCUCCCAAAGGGUAACGGAGGAGCACGAAGGUCGGCUGGUUACGGUCGGAAACCGUGAUGACAGUGCAAUGGCGAAAGCCGGCUUAACUGCGAGACCGACAAGUCGAGCAGAUACGAAAGUAGGUCAUAGUGAUCCGGUGGCUCUGAAUGGAAGGGCCAUCGCUCAACGGAUAAAAGGUACUCUGGGGAUAACAGGCUGAUACCGCCCAAGAGUUCAUAUCGACGGCGGUGUUUGGCACCUCGAUGUCGGCUCAUCACAUCCUGGGGCUGAAGUUGGUCCCAAGGGUAUGGCUGUUCGCCAUUUAAAGUGGUACGCGAGCUGGGUUCAAAACGUCGUGAGACAGUUUGGUCCCUAUCUACCGCGGGCGCUGGAAGAUUGAGGGGGAUUGCUCCUAGUACGAGAGGACCGGAGUGGACGCACCUCUGGUGUACCGGUUGUCACGCCAGUGGCACAGCCCGGUAGCUAAGUGCGGGACUGAUAACCGCUGAAAGCAUCUAAGCGGGAAGCAGGCC
rnacentral:rRNA from 1 species